rnacentral:rRNA from 1 species
GACGAACGCUGGCGGCGUGCUUAACACAUGCAAGUCGAACGAUGAAGCCGGAGCUUGCUCUGGUGAAUUAGUGGCGAACGGGUGAGUAACACGUGAGUAACCUGCCCUUGACUCUGGGAUAACUGCUAGAAAUGGUAGCUAAUACCGGAUACGACCCUCGGAGGCAUCUUCAGGGGGUGGAAAGAAUUUCGGUCAAGGAUGGACUCGCGGCCUAUCAGCUAGUUGGUGAGGUAAUGGCUCACCAAGGCGACGACGGGUAGCCGGCCUGAGAGGGUGACCGGCCACACUGGGACUGAGACACUGCCCAGACUCCUACGGGAGGCAGCAGUGGGGAAUAUUGCACAAUGGGCGCAAGCCUGAUGCAGCAACGCCGCGUGAGGGAUGACGGCCUUCGGGUUGUAAACCUCUUUUAGUAGGGAAGAAGCGAAAGUGACGGUACUUAACGAGGAAGCCACGGCUAACUACGUGCCAGCAGCCGCCGUAA